GUGCCCUCUUCCCCACCCUCCUGGCCCCGCCCCUCGCGUUUCCGAAGGAUAACAGGGAGAGGGUGGGAACAUAGAGUAGGAAGAGACGCGCGCGUGCCCGGGCAGGCUUUCCGCUCGGGUCAGAGAGCGGAGGGCGGGACGGAGGCGAGGCCGGGACCACGUCACUGUCAGCACCUAGUUCCCUUCCCGCUGCUGCUGGGGCAUUUCCCGAGCGGACUUCCGCUCCGCGAAAAGCCAACCUGGUUCGUUCCGCUCCUUAACUUCCAAGGUUCUUUCCGCCGCUCCGGGUCAGUGUCCAGGCCAGAGUGGGGAUCUUUACGACAGCCCUGUCUUCAGCUUCUGCUCGAGCACCUCCACAGAUGGGGUGCUCACUACCGUUCCAGAAGACUGGCUCUUGAUGCGGGGUCUCCGGACCCUCAGCCCGGGGCUCCGCUCACAUUUCAGUAACUUAUUUAAGAAUUAACUGGAGAAACCGGAAAUGGCUCACUUUGGACCAGUUCCGGCCCUCAGUUUCCGUCUCUGCCCAUGAGGGGGUUGUUCUACAUGUCCUCGGGCCCCUUCGCUCCAAGAUUUACGGGCCUAAGAUUGGGGGAGGGGUGUCACAUGAAUCGUAUUUCAGAGUGUCCCGCGCUAAGGAAGUGGGAGUCCCGAAUGCUGCUACUUCGAGCUUUCUUUCAUAGUGCCUCUUGGAACUUUAGUGGCCCGUGCCUAGAACCCUGGACCCAAAUCCAGCCUGAGACAAAGCAAUCUGGCCCAGCCUGCCUCAGUUUUCUCAUCUGUAAAACAGAGGUGGUUCUCUCCAUCACAAGUCCAUUGAAAGUGGCCUGAAUCACUUAGCACCAUCGAAAAGAAUCAUGUUCAUCAGAAUUGAUCAUCCAGUUGUUGCUAUAUACAACGUUCUCUUGAUUCUGCUCACUUCACUUAGCAUCAGUUCCAGUAAGUCUCUCCAGGCCUUUCUAAAAUCAUCCUUCUGGUCAUUUCUUAUAGAACAAUAAUAUUCCAUAAUAUUCAUAUAUCAUAACUUAUUCAUCCAUUCUCCAAUUGAUGGACAUUCACUAUUUCCAAUUCCUUCCCACUACAAAGAGAGCUGCCACAAACAUUUUUGCACAUAUGGGUCCUUUCCCCCCCUUUAAGAUCUCUUUGGAAUGCAGUCCCAAUAGAGACACCACUAGAUCAAAGGGUAUGCACAAUUUGAUACCCUUUGGGCAUAGUUAUGAACCAUUUUAAGAGUAUAAAAGGAGGAAGGCCUGAGGCUUUAAAGUCCCACAUCAUGAAUCUGAAAAUUGUAUCAAAUUGAUCAACUACAAUGGACUUGGCUCUUUUGUACAAUGAGGUGAUUCAGGCCAAUUUCAAUAGACUUGUGAUGGAGAGAGCCACCUGCAUCCAGAGAGGAUUAUGGGGAAUGUGGAUCACAACAUAGUAUUUUCACAUUUUUGUUGCUGUUUGCUUGUUUUUCUUUUUCAUUCCCCACUCUUUAUGAUCUGAUUUUUCUUGUGCAGUAUAAAUGUAGAAAUAUAUUUAGAAUUGCACGUUUAACCUAUAUUGGAUUACUUGCUUCUAUGGGAGGGGGAAGGUAGAAAGGGAGGGAGGAAAAUGUGGAACACAAGGUUUUGCAGAAGUGAAUGCUGAAAACUCUCUUUGUAUGUAUUUUGGAAAACAAAAAGCUAUUAUAAAAAAAGAAAAUUGUAUCAAAUGAGAAACACAAAAUGUGCAUCAAUAAUGUGAUGAAUGGCAGAUGAUAUAAAAACAUCAAUUAAGAAUGCUUUGCAAAUGGAAUAGUGCUUUAUUUACACAAGGUAUUAUAAAUCUUGGCAGGGUAGGUGGUUGAUGGGCACAUGGGGGAAAGUAGUCCCUUAUUUCAGGUGAGAGAACAACCAAGUUUGAAAAUGGCCAUAGAGUGGUGAAAAGCUGGCUGAUGGAACCAAGCUGGCCAGACCCAUGCUGAAGAGGGUUCCCUUGUCUGCUACUUCGCCAUCUCACUCCAUAUCCCUCCUUAGGCAAAUCUACAGGGGCAGGUCCAAACUAAGGCUAUCUUGCUCCUCCUCCACUGUUUGCUAGGAUUACCUACCACCCCAUAGCCACAGGAGCAUAAGAUCAUAAAUCUAUUCCUGGAAGGCUCUUUAAUAAUUAUUUGGUCCAAUUUUCUCAUUUUACAGAUAAGGAAACUGAAUCCCUGAGAAGUUAAGGACCUCUUACAGUCACAGGUACUAAGUGACUAUCUGAAUAAUCCAGGGUUUUUGGCUCUAAGUGGUUCCACACUGCCCUCAUUCCUUUGGAUUUUAGAGGCUUGACCAGAAGGCAAAAGAGACUGAAAAAAAAAAAGGCAGGGGGCAGCCUCAUAUACAAUAUUAAUACUGGAUUAGGAGCAAUUCUGAUGGUCUGGGGAUAAUCUGUGCCUUUCUCCCUGCCUCCAUUACAAUUUACAUUGAAUUUGAAGGGGAACAAUCAGGGGGACAGAGCAUUAUUUGUAGCUAUUAAUAUCAAACUCUUUAAUCAUCUAGCUCAGUCCAUAGCCAAACAGGAUUCCUAUUUACAAAAUUCCUGACAAUCUUGCUUCUUUAUGACUAUCUCCAGGGAUGGUAGACUCGUCAUUGCACAAGGUAGAAACUCAUUUCACUUCUAGAGAGCUCUAAUGGUUUAUUACAUAGUAUCUCAUUUGAUUUCCAUAAUAAUUCUGUGAGGGGGGUAUAAUAGAUAUUAUGAAUACUAUAUUUUACAGAGACAGAAAUUGAGGCAGAGACUUGUCAUCAGUGAUCACACAGGUGUCAGUAGUGCUACACACACACACACACACACACA